rnacentral:lncRNA from 1 species
CAGACCAAUAGUUACGCUAUUUCAUCAUAGUUGAUAAGUUGUUUGACAAAUAUGUAAGGCAUUUACGACAGUGAUAUUAAAUGCAUUUGUUAAAAGGUAUCGACAUCUGAUUAGUUUCAUAUUCAAUCUUCAACCUUGACUUAAAUAUCACAAAAAAUGUCUCGACCCCGUAAAAUAUCACGAGGCUUACAUAAAGGCCUAUCCAAGCGGCAUAUCAAUCUCUGCCUAUCACAAUAAGCAGAGAUGGGUCUGAUUACUUUCAAUGUAGUUUAUGGAAGUUAAAAUAUUGAUGAAAUAAAGUUACCAGUUAAAAACUAUGUAAAAUUAUUAGAAUUGUUAAAUCAAAUCGUAAACAAAAUAUAAGUACUAAAAAUUAUUGCAUUUUACAUGUCCAGUUCAAAUACAGACCAAAAUUCGUUUAUUUUAAACAACAUAUUUGUCUAACUUUUAAUUUAAUUUGUGCUAAUUAAAUAAAUUUUCACAUGUCUGAUUUAUCUGUUAUCAUAUAUUUGCCCUAAAGCUAUAAUCAAUUGGUAAUUGCAAUAAAAAAAACCAUUAAUUAGUCUCCUACCUAUCAAUUCUUAUUCAAAGGUAAAGUUGACAAAAA